UGCAACACUACCAAGCCACGGCCGAGCGGCUUGCGUGUAGUUACAUUUUUCGAGAGGUGCACGUCAGGCUACGGCGUAGGGUCCGGCGUAGACGCAGAGUGGUCUGCAGGGGUGCGCCGUCGAUUCUACGCACAACCAUAAAAUGGCCUUUAGAAACUGGAGACAGUGCUCCAAACAAAGCUUGC